GACGAACCGUGCGAACGUUAUUCGGAAUCAUUGGGCUUAAAGCGCGUGUAGGCGGAUUCGUGCGUCUGUCGCUGAAAUCCCCCGGCUCAACCGGGGAAGUGGCGCGGAUACGACGAGUCUGGAGGGGCAUAGGGGGACCUGGAACUUCCGGUGGAGCGGUGAAAUGCGUUGAGAUCGGAAGGAACGCCCGUGGCGAAAGCGAGGUCCUGGAUGCCUACUGACGCUGAGACGCGAAAGCCAGGGGGAGCGAACGGG
rnacentral:rRNA from 1 species